rnacentral:rRNA from 1 species
AGUGAACGCUGGCGGCAGGCCUAACACAUGCAAGUCGAACGAGUGGCGGACGGGUGAGUAAUGCAUCGGAAUCUACUCGGUCGUGGGGGAUAACGUCUGGAAACUUACGCUAAUACCGCAUACGAUUAGAUGAGCCGAUGUCGGAUUAGCUAGUUGGUGGGGUAACGGCCCACCAAGGCGACGAUCCGUAGCUGGUCUGAGAGGAUGAUCAGCCACACUGGAACUGAGACACGGUCCAGACUCCUACGGGAGGCAGCAGUGGGGAAUAUUGGACAAUGGGCGCAAGCCUGAUCCAGCCAUGCCGCGUGUGUGAAGAAGGCCUUCGGGUUGUAAAGCACUUUUGGUGGGGAAGCGUUACCCAAAGAAUAAGCACCGGCUAACUUCGUGCCAGCCGCCGCGGUAAUUC